GACGAACGCUGGCGGCGUGCUUAACACAUGCAAGUCGAACGGAAAGGCCCUGCUUUUGUGGGGUGCUCGAGUGGCGAACGGGUGAGUAACACGUGAGUAACCUGCCCUUGACUUUGGGAUAACUUCAGGAAACUGGGGCUAAUACCGGAUAGGAGCUCCUGCUGCAUGGUGGGGGUUGGAAAGUUUCGGCGGUUGGGGAUGGACUCGCGGCUUAUCAGCUUGUUGGUGGGGUAGUGGCUUACCAAGGCUUUGACGGGUAGCCGGCCUGAGAGGGUGACCGGCCAAAAUGGGACUGAGAUAAGGCCCAGAAUCCUACGGGAGGCAGCAGUGGGGAAUAUUGCACAAUGGGCGGAAGCCUGAUGCAGCAACGCCGCGUGCGGGAUGACGGCCUUCGGGUUGUAAACCGCUUUCGCCUGUGACGAAGCGUGAGUGACGGUAAUGGGUAAAGAAGCACCGGCUAACUACGUG
rnacentral:rRNA from 1 species